UCACAGCAACAAUGGAUCUCUAACCCACUGCGCAAGGUCAGGGAUUGAACCAGCGUCUUCAUGGAUACUAGUCAGAUUCCUUACCUCUGAGCCACAGCAGGAAUUCCUGCGUUUCUUCUUUCUACCGUGAGCAUCACAGGAAAACUUCCUGUGCCCUUCUAUUAAGGCAAGCCCAGGUAGUACACGGGUACAUCAAGGUGUCAGGACAAGGAGAGGAAAGAGCCCAGCCUCAAAGAAACACAUAAUGAAACUGUAAACGCAGGAGAGGUUCAGGAGGAACACUGUCUGCUCAGGGAGGGAGGAAGUCCGAGGCUGCUUUCAUGGAAAAACAAGGUCUUGUAUAAAAGUUGCUGAGAACAAAGACCUCGUGCUUAAGACUGUGGAGGUGACUCCUCUGAGCUGGCAUGGGUGCUGAAUAAACCUUGCUUUUCCUCAUCUCUGAGCGCCGUUUGUCUCCUUCCGCUGCCACAGUUUCUGAACCAAAACUAAGACAGGAUGGUGAGUCACCCGGGACCACCAGGUGUGCAUUCCAGAACAGCUAGCCUGCAAACUAAUCAACCAACAAUACGAGUUAACCCACAUGGGCAAAAACAGCCUUGGAGACCUUACUGGGCCGGUACUAUCUCAUUGCACAUAUCCCCGCACUCUGCUCCUCUGUCUCCCAAUGGUGCAUAACUUGUUUGCAGAAUAAUGCUCGCCAAGGGCCUAGCAGACCAGGUGGGGCACAGCACUGUGGACUGCCCCCAUUUGAGGAUAUGGAAUUGGACUUUACCGAAGUCACCCCAAGCAAGGGCUACAAAUACCUACUAGUUUUUACCUGCACCUUUUCAGGAUGGAUAGAAGCCUUCCCUGCCUGAACUGAAAAGGCAAGGGAAAUAACCAAGGCACUCCUGAGAGACAUCAUUCCAAGGUACUGAAUGCCUCUGACCAUCGGGUCAGACAACGGACCGGCAUUUGUGGCCGAGACAGUGCAACAGGUGGCAAAAGCCUUACAGAUCUGGUGGAAAUUACAUUCUGCUUAUCCCCCUCAGAGUUCAGGGAAAGUAGAACACAUGAAUCAGACCCAUAAACAGACACUGGCAAAGUUAUGUUAGGAAACUGGCUUGCCCUGGGUAGGCCCUCCUAAAAGUGAGAUGCUCACCCCGAGUGGGAAUAGGAUUCUCACCAUUUGAAAUCUUAUAUGGGAAGCCACCUCCACUGAUCAAUUUGAGAGGAAACACCAGGGAGUUGGGAGACUUGGAGUUACAUAAGCAAUUGCAGGGACUGGGGCUCACCAUCUCGCAAAUACAUAGAUGGGUCACAGAUAGAAUACCUGUGUCUUUAGCAUAACAGUACACCCCCACAAGCCGGGGGGACCAAGUGUCGAUAAAGGACUGGAAAAAAAAAGCCUUGAAGGACGGUAUGGAAGGGCCCCUAUACUGUAAUUCUAACCACCGCCACUGCUCUCAAAGUAACAGGAAUAGAUGCUUGGAUCCAUCAUUCCAGGGUUAAACCGGCUGGCCCAGCUGAUGACUGAGAGGAAUGGGAAACUGCCCUGGAUCCGGAGAGACCUCUGUGCCUGACAAUACAGAGGAAGAGACAACGAUCUCAAAGCCCAGCUCUGACCACAUCAGAAGCUAGUCAGUCAACGCAUGGCUGAAGCUUGAGCAAUUGGCUGCCCAGUAAAUAAACUGCCUUAUCUUCCACAAGAGAUAUACCUGCUUCUGAAAGAGGGGUUUGUGGAAAGUUUAACUUGAAUAAUUGUUGUCCACAAAUAGAUGACACCGGAAAGAUGAUAGAAGAAAUUGCUGACCGCAUGACUAAAAUUGUCUACGUGCCUGUACAGACUUGGAAGGGAUGGGACACGGACAGUCUCUUUGGUGGAUGUUUCUCCUGGCUGGAGGAAUUAAGCCAAUAGUCGGAAUAAUCAUGGUCAUACUCUCGGCGUGCCUACCUCUUCCCUGCUUUAUACCUCUUCUGAGAAACAUUAUAAAAGGUUUUAUAGAAACCAUGGUUGAAAGAAAAACAGCCUCCGACCUGCUACUUAUAAAAGGUUACCAACAGGUAAUGACCCAUGACGAUCUCUGACGGGCACAGACGCAUCCUGAACAUCAAGAGGGGGGAAUGAAGUAAGAGACAACCCCCCCCCCCCCCCCCCGCCGCCUUGGCUGAAAAGGCAGUUGCAAGCCUUUCAACUCUGCUCCCCUCAUACCAUCCUUCUUAUAAUUAUAUAGCAACUAUGUACCCUAUACCUAAACCAGCAGCCCUGCUAAACUUGUUCCAAGCAGUGCUUAUCAGUUUCACUUUGGUAGGUUUCACUUGCUCAGUUUCGUAGGGAAAACACUGUCUCCUAGGGGAGGGGGGAAGUCCCAGGCUGCUUACAUGGGAAAAACAAGGUCUUGUGUAAAAGUUGCUGAGAACAAAGACCUGGUGCUCAAGCUCUGGAGGUGACUCCUUUGAACCGGCACCGGUACUGAAUAAAGCUUGUUUUUGCGCA